UGCGUGCAUGUAGUUUUGAGAUGGAAGAGUUUCAGUUUCUGACAGUAAAUAUUGUAGAUGUUUAAAUAACUAUUAUUCUUCCACAGAUCCUGGUAUUUUUCUCACAUCGAUUCUGACCUUGGAGAAAUCCAAAAGAAGGCAAUGGAAAAUGGAAGCCAUCAGCUCUCCCUACCUCCGACAGGAGCUGCUCUAUAUAUACCAUCUUCCUAUUCUCGCACUGUUUGUGGUACAGCUUCCUGCCUGGAGAUCUUCGGUGGUAACUACUACGAAUAUUGACGCCAGCGAAAACAUCCAUAAUUCCACGCUCUCACCACUAGCCUUACAAGACUAGUAAACUAAUAAACAUAACCACCACACACGUCAAUCAGAGCAACGCUGCUAGAAUAUAAAUUAGCAAAUAUAUCUCAAAGUCCUACAGCCAAGAUUGGCAGAUAUGACUUCUGAACGCAGAACUUCAAAAACUUCAGGGAGUAGACUUCUGUGAGAUGGCCCCAGGACAACACCUAUACAAGGACUGCCAUGGAAGAAAUGCGUUCAGACUCUCAAGACAAGGACAUGCUCACCAUGCCCAGCAAUAUUCCCUACUGCCAAUUCACACACCAGUACUUAUGGAUCACCACCAGCGUGAGACCUUGCCAGGCAACAGGGAAGCUUGAGAUUUGGGUUGAACUACACUGGUGAUGAGCAUCUGAAGGGCAGCUGCUCCUCUCCUCUCAACCCAAUCCUCCGCACCCAAAACUCAAGGCCAGCACCCUGCCGUAAUAAUUCUCUGACCACUUUGGCCCAGUGAUGUCCACUGCAGAAAUGCAACUUUCCUACUAACUCGCAAAAGGAUGGCUUUGAAAGUAGGAGAACCUCUGAAACAACUUCAUGUCUUUUCUACGGAAGAUUAAUUAUUGUCCAAGUCACUGGGUGAGCUCAGAUGUUUCUGUGAAAAAAAAAGCAAAGCUCUCAACAUCAGGUAAUAAUAAAAGGGCACUUCAUAUUCUUCCGAGUGCUAACACAUUUUGAAUUUGAGGCAGUUCAUUAGAUACUUAAAUAUAACUCAGCAUGCUGUAUCAAGCAUUAAGAACAGCAGCUGCACAAUGACAAAGAAUUGACUUCAACUUCCACGUAAUAAGAGUAAAAACCAACAAGGAAGUGAGAAGAUGCAGUCUAAGGCACCACCGGCCUCUUGGUGUGAACUGCCAUCAAGGCAAGAAAAGGCUCAGGACAGCUCAGUGUAAUCUCCUCAACCUCAUAAAGUGGCAAGUUUUAAAUGUUUUAUUUAAUUUUUUUUUUCC